AGACAGGGUCUAUUUUUUUUGUUUUGUUUUGUUUUGUUUUGAGACAGAGUUUCUCUCUCUGUAGCCCAGGCUGGAGUGCAGGGGUGCAAUCACAGAUCACUGCAACCUCAACCUCCUGAGCUCAGACGAUCCUCCCGCCUCAGCCUUCCAAGUAGCUGGGACUAUAGGCACACACCACCAUGCCCAGCAAUUUUUUUUUUGUAUUUUUUGUAGAGACGGAGUUUCACAAUGUUGCCCAGGCUGGUCUCGAACUCCUGGGCUCAAGCAGUCCACCCUGGGCUCAAGCCUCAGCCAUGCAAAGUGCUAGGAUUACAGGCAUGAGCCACCAAGCACAGCCUGUUUGCUUAUUUCUUAUCCGAAUUCUCAGCAGAAUUUGUGAGCCUAUGAGAGCAUUGUCUUUGUUUUGUUCCCUGCUAUAACUCCAGAGCCUAAAGCAGUGCUGGGCAUACAAUGGGUCCUUAACAAUUAUUUGUUGAAUGAAUAAAUGCAAUAUGUUUGCAUGAGGGACCAGUGGGAAUAACAAUUCUAAUUGAGCAGCCCUGAUCCUUCUGAUUUCUUCGAAGUGUGAGGGUUAAACCAAUGCUCAUCCUCACAAAUUCCCACUGCCCUGCAGAAAAGGGGAACAUAGCCUCAUAAAAUGAAGGGAGACUGAUGAGCCCCUGGCUAGUUCCCCCCACCACACCCCGCCUCCUGCCCUGAACUUGCUCUGUUGCUGAAGCUGGAGUGCAGGGUCCUGAUCUCCGUUCACUGAAAGCUCUGCCUCCUGGGCUCAAGUGAUCCUCCUGCCUCAGCCUCCAGAGUAGCUGGGAUUACAGGCGUGUGCCACCACACCUGUAAUUUUGUAUUUUCAGUAGAGAUGGGGUUUCGCCAUGUUGGCCAGGCUGGUCUCCAUCUCCUGAGCUCAAGUGAUCCACCUGCCUCAGCCUCCCAAAGUGCUGGAUUCCAGGCAUGAGCCACCGUGCCUGGCCAGAACCCAGGACUUUCAAUUUGAAAACCAGGAAAUCCCAGGGUCAUUGGGGUGAGUUGGCCACCCUACUGAAUGGUACAUUUGCAAGACCCUCCCUGGGGCCCGAGGCCUCACUUACUCGGCUUCCAGGGCAGCCAGCCGGGCCUGGAGCUGGGCCUGGGCACUACUGAAAUCUGCCACCAUGGCCUGCAUCUCCUUCCGGUGUUCCUGGCGCAGUGUCUCCACCUCCCUGGCCCGCUGGGCUUGCUGAGUCUCCUCCAGGAACCUGUGGUGGAUGAAAGCACAGCCAGGCUUGCCCAGCUCCAGGGAUGGCACCCCUUGGGCUCUGGGGUUUAUUUCCCUCAUCGCUGCCCAGUUUGGGAGAUCUGGGUGGGGAGAAAUUGUGAUCUAAGGACACCUGUGGGAAGAAGAGCUGAAGUCUCUUGAGUUGUGGAGUCCAGGACAAACCCCCACUAUGGGACCCCUUCUCAGCACCCUCCCAUCUCAGAAGGAGAAACCUGAGCAUGGGGACAGACUUCAGGUGGAAGUGAUGGAGAGCAGCCCUGCAGGGGAGCCCCAGAAAACACACUCUUCACUUGGGACAGGCGGGGAGGCAAGAGGCUGAGAUUCUCUAUCAGUAUGGCCUGAACGCUGGGACUCUGAGACCUGGGAGACCAGGUCUUCCCUAACAACUACACUGCAGUGGAAAGCCUCCCUGAACUUUUUUUUUUUUUUGAGACGGAGUCUUGCUCUUGUUGCUCAGGGUGGAGUGCAAUGGCACGAUCUCGGCUCACUGCAACCUUCACCUCCCGGGUUCAAGCAGUUCUCCUGCCUCAGCCUCCCAAGUGGCUGGGAUUACAGGCGCCCAGCACCAGGCCCAGCCAAUUUUUUGUAUUUUUAGUAAAGACGGGGGGUUUCACCAUGUUGGCCAGGCUAGUCUCGAACUCCUGACCUCGGGUGAUCCAUGCGCUUCAGCCUCCCAAAGUGCUGGGAUUACACGCGUGAGCCACCACACCUGGCCACUCCCUGAAUCUUUAUCCCUCACCUUUAUCAAAAGAAGUGGUUAUGAAAAUUAAAUUGGGCUGGGUGCGGUGGCUCACAUCUGUAAUCCCAGCACUUUGGGAGGCCAAGGCGGGAGGAUCACGAGGACAGGAGUUCGAGACCA
rnacentral:lncRNA from 1 species